rnacentral:rRNA from 1 species
CCUACGGGGGGCAGCAGUGAGGAAUAUUGGUCAAUGGCCGGAAGGCUGAACCAGCCAUGCCGCGUGAAGGUCAGUGCCCUAUGGGCGUUAAACUUCUUUUGUGCGGGAGCAAUAAUGGUCACGUGUGGCCAGACGAGAGUACCGUACGAAUAAGCAUCGGCUAACUCCGUGCCAGCAGCCGCGGUAAUACGGGGGAUGCAAGCGUUAUCCGGAUUUAUUGGGUUUAAAGGGUGCGUAGGCUGUGAGGUAAGUCAGCGGGGAAAUGCCCCCGCUCAACGGGGUGAAGUGCCAUUGUUACUGCCUUGCUGGAAUGCGGAUGCCGUGGGAGGAAUGUGUGGUGUAGCGGUGAAAUGCAUAGAUAUCACACAGAACACCGAUUGCGAAGGCAUCUCACGAAUCCGCGAUUGACGCUGAUGCACGAAAGCGUGGGUAUCAAACAGGAUUAGAUACCCUAGUAGUC